GAUCAUCGGGGAAGAUGACGGAGUUGUUUCAGGCCAUCUGAAUGUGGGGGAUCAUUGGUCCAUUUUGAAUGUGAUUCUAUGUUUUAUACUAGCUAUUUUCCGUCGUGCACCAUAGCCGGAUGGCUGUUGGAUCUGCCACAUCAAUUAAUGAAGCUAGAUCCAACGCCUCUGCUUUUUUCUGAUUUUAUUUGUUUUUUAUUUUUUUAUUUUUAAUUGCAUUUUCUUUAAAAAUUC
rnacentral:lncRNA from 1 species